GACGAACGCUGGCGGCGUGCUUAACACAUGCAAGUCGAACGGAAAGGCCCUGCUUUUGUGGGGUGCUCGAGUGGCGAACGGGUGAGUAACACGUGAGUAACCUGCCCUUGACUUUGGGAUAACUUCAGGAAACUGGGGCUAAUACCGGAUAGGAGCUCCUGCUGCAUGGUGGGGGUUGGAAAGUUUCGGCGGUUGGGGAUGGACUCGCGGCUUAUCAGCUUGUUGGUGGGGUAGUGGCUUACCAAGGCUUUGACGGGUAGCCGGCCUGAGAGGGUGACCGGACACAUUGGGACUGAGAUACGGCCCAGACUCCUACGGGAGGCAGCAGUGGGGAAUAUUGCACAAUGGGCGGAAGCCUGAUGCAGCAACGCCGCGUGCGGGAUGACGGCCUUCGGGUUGUAAACCGCUUUCGCAUGUGACGAAGCGUGAGUGACGGUAAUGGGUAAAGAAGCACCGGCUAACUACGUG
rnacentral:rRNA from 1 species